rnacentral:lncRNA from 1 species
CGCCUGGGUGCAGAAGAUCAAGGCGGCGUCUGAGCAGUACAUCGACACCGAGAAGAAGAAGCGUGAGAAAGCUUACCAAGGUUUCCCCCAUUUUGUUAUAUACUCCUAAAAGCCCGCUCCCAAAAGACUUCAGGCAUUGGGCGCCUGAUGGUGCAUGUCAUUGAAGCUACAGAAUUAAAAGCCUGCAAACCAAAUGGAAAGAGCAACCCAUACUGUGAAAUCAGCAUGGGCUCCCAGAGCUACACCACCAGG